rnacentral:rRNA from 1 species
GGGUGGUAAUGCCGGGUGCUCCGACAUGACGCAUGCCGUGUCGGGAAAGAUUCAUCGGUAUGGGAUGGGGUCGSGUCCUAUCAGCUUGAUGGCGGGGUACCGGCCCACCAUGGCUUCGACGGGUAGCCGGCCUGAGAGGGCGACCGGCCACAUUGGGACUGAGAUACGGCCCAGACUCCUACGGGAGGCAGCAGUGGGGAAUAUUGCACAAUGGGCGCMAGCCUGAUGCAGCGACGCCGCGUGCGGGAUGACGGCCUUCGGGUUGUAAACCGCUUUUGACUGGGAGCAAGCCCUUCGGGUGAGUGUACCUUUCGAAUAAGCACCGGCUAACUACGUGCCAGCAGCCGCGGUAAUACGUAGGGUGCAAGCGUUAUCCGGAAUUAUUGGGCGUAAAGGGCUCGUAGGCGGUUCGUCGCGUCCGGUGUGAAAGUCCAUCGCUUAACGGUGGAUCCGCGCCGGGUACSGGCGGGCUUGAGUGCGGUAGGGGAGACUGGAAUUCCCGGUGUAACGGUGGAAU